GAGGUUCCCUAUGAACAGGGGAAGGGGGACCUUCCGGAGCAGAUGCUUUCCUCCCAUCCACAAUGGGUGGUUGUCUUUUUCUUGGAUGGAAUCUGUACUACUCAGCGGGAGAGCCUCCAUGAAGCAUGAGCAACACAAGUUCUGUGAUCCCAUUUCUGCAGUGUCUUCACGAUUGUCAGGGGACAAAACCUUAAUGAGUAUGCUUAGGGCAGCCUGCUUGGUCUGAUACUGGCUCUCAAGGACGAGGUCAGGCAGACGGAACAAGGACACUGCCCACAGGCUGCAGUGUGUGGGAAGGGGGGCGGGUGGAGACCGGAGGAGAGAAGAGGCUGAAAGCUAGCUCUAGUUCUGUGCCAGGGAAUGCGUGGUCUUCUUUGGUCCUAACCCCCACAGCAACCUGGCUAGGUAAUUAUUGCUAUUUUCUUUUUACAAAAGGUGAAACUGAGUCUCUGCCUGGCUUUAAAGUCCUUGCUGUUUCAUGUAUACACUUCUCUCACAUGGAAGGAAGAGUUCAAUUGCCAAGCUGGAAAGAGGUGGUGAUGCUCAGUGGAGAGUGCCUGGUUUCUAGCUCCAACCAUGUGACUUCAGCAGGUGCUCCCCACCAUCCCAUCCCCACGCAAAGAUCUGGCUUCCAGCUCCAACACUGCCACCAGAUGGCCAACUGUUCUUAGGCCAGUGGUCUAACCUCUCUGGGCUUCAGCUUCAUCAUCCCUUGUUAGAUGUGCUCUGCCUACCUCACGGGACUGGACUGCUGAGUGGAACAAAUGAGGGUUAUGAGACACAGCUCUUUCACUGGGGUGGACAUACCAUGAAAAGGUGGUGGAGGCAACUUGUGUUAAUAAGGUCCGGCUCCAGUUUCAGACUCUAACCUGUGACUUGAGAGCCCAUGAGGUGUGUUCUCCUACCACAUAGUGGAUUUGUUAGGAAGUGACUGCCAGUCAUGGACUAACCCAAGGCCUUUUUUAUCAAGGCUCCUUUGCUGUGAUGAAACAGCUGCUGUGUUGUGAACUGCCCCAAGGAAAGGAGGGCAAUGGAACUGAGGGAGACCUCCACCAGCAGGCUUAAAGGACCUGAAUCCUGCCAACACCCACUGGAGUGACCUUGAAAGUGGAUUCUCCAAGUUAAGCCUUGAGAUGGUUCAAACACCUUGACUGCAGCCUUAUGAGAAGUCCUGAGUCAGAGGAUCCAGUUCAGCCACUGCCCACAGACUCCUGACUCACACUGCACUUGGGAGAGAAAUAAGUUUGAGUGGAAUCUGAAGAUCUUUUCACUGCCCUUCAUGCUGUAUCAUAUAAGCAAAGCUUCCAAGUCACACAGUGAGACCCAGGAGGCAGGAGCCAAUAAAAUCUUAAAAACACCCAAGGACCAGGCCCACACAUUCCAAAUGCUUCUUAGGACUCUUUGCCCCUCAUGGCCUUGCCGUGUGACCUGCUGCCAACACCACAGAGUAGCUGUCCUGGGAGCAACGCUCACAAAGAAGCAUGGCAUUGUUUUAGUCCAUGGUGUUGGAGAGAAGAAAAAAGUGAAAUUGACAAGAAAAAUAAUCAAUACAUAAAAUUAAUGUCAAAUUUUUUAAAUGCCCUUAUUUCUAUGGUAUUAACCUACACUUGGAUUCCCUUUCACUUGCAUUGUUUGUCCUGAGCUUAAAAUGCAUGUAUGGACUAAUGUGCAAGGUACCUCGCCAGAAAUAGCAGAUUCGCAUCUCACUUAUGCAUGUUAUGAACUAAUACAAUGAUUUAGUGUGUGGUAUGUAAAAUUAAGCAGUAAGAAGCUCUGAAACCAGAAGGGCAUGCACUGUUUUGAUGACUGCAAGUAAUGCCCUUUGAUUUCUGUUUUUUUUUUUUUUUUUUUUUUAAUGUACUUGUUUUCAUUAUCAUUGCAUAUUGGAUUGUUAAGUUUUCAGACCCUGGACUACAUAUUUUACGGGCACUGUCCCUUUUAACUUUAAUACAUACAGCAAUUCUGACAGCGGGUGCUAUUGCUUCCAUUUUAGAGAUCAGAAAAUUAAGGCUUAUAGGAGUCAAGUUGCCAAAGUCACAAAGUUGGCACAUAGCGGACCUGGGAUUCAAACCCAGUCUUUUCUGAGUUCAAGCUCUCAGCUAAACCCAAGCACUGUUUUGCCUACCAUGGAGGGUUAAACCAGCAGCCAAGGACAUCUCUUACACAUGUGUCCAGUCUUCUGUCAAAGGGGCAUGUGACCAGACCUGUCCCUACCCUUUGUAUGAGCACCUCCCACCCCCAGUCCUAAAAUGUUCUGCUUAACUGAGGUUUGAGUUACUGAAUGGGCAAACAGAUAAACCAGGAGGUAAUUAUUUAUAUAACCAGCAAAAUAAUCUUUCAAAAUAGGAUAUCAUUAGUCCUUUCAGUAGUUUAUUGAUGACUCAUGAUUCUUAAAAUCUCUGAUAGGAAAGGAAUUUAGAAGUUCAUCUGAUGCAAACUUCCUUGACUACUGAAUUGAGAUGCCAUGAAACUUAAACUAAAAGAGUCUAUUGGAGGGGCGCCUGGGUGGCUCGGUCGGUUAAGCGUCCGAUUUCAGCUCAGGUCACGAUCUCACGGUCCGUGAGUUCGAGCCCCACGUCGGGCUCUGUGCUGACAGCUCAGAGCCUGG